CCCACGGCCUUUAUAAAGGCCACUUUGUAUAUUACUUAAGUGACUU
rfam:Danaus plexippus plexippus isolate F-2 unplaced genomic scaffold DPSCF300322, whole genome shotgun sequence.